UUCAUAGAAUUAAUUUUCAUGUUAGCAGACUUGAACUCACCACGACGUACUGUGAUUUAUGCCGAGAAAGCUAAUGACAAAGUCGAACAACCAGAAAAGGUCGCGUUUACAGUCGGGUUAUCAAAACAGUUGGAUGUUCUGUUGCAAGAUGUCGUUGUUUAUAACAAAGUUGUAUCUAAUGUUGGAGACGACUAAAACAACAGUACUGGUGUUUUCAGAUGCAAAAUAGCUGGGUUGUAUUUCUUCCAAAUCUACGGCGCUGCCAAUAAAGGGAAAGAGCUGAGUUUGUCUCUUGUUAAAAACAAAACGAAAGUUUUGUCACAAACCAAGAGUUGUCUCUCGCUGCCAACUCCGCAGUGUUGCUUUUGGAGGCUGGUGAUGAGUCUUUGUUGAAGCUUCCAACUGUGGCAGUCUGUAUGGAGAGGAGCAUCACGUGAUCAACACUUUCUCUGGUUUCCUGCUGGACAAAGCUAUUUGACAAUAUCGUAUCAUCUAAAUAAAAGAUCUUCUAAAACGUUAUGUAACAAGACUUUCUAAUGAAUUUAAAUUUUAUUGAACAGGCUAAUUAGUAUAGCUGUAAUCUGGACUGAGCACAUGUUGCUUUUUAAUUAAAUAAUUAUUUUAAAA